CAUGCCUCCACGCACCCAUACAACAAGGGCAAAUAUCAAAUAUAUACCUUUCCCUAAACUCCAACUCCCCAGAUGAUGCCCGCUCCUACACAAAGGCAUGGGAAAGAAAUUUAAGACCUCCUGCAGACCCCUCAGACUGGGUGGACAUAUGGGAAGCCACAGCCUCGCUUACCAUAUGUGUGAACCAUAAAGAGCAGCCCUAC